CCUACGGGAGGCAGCAGUAGGGAAUCUUCCACAAUGGGCGAAAGCCUGAUGGAGCAACGCCGCGUGAGUGAAGAAGGUUUUCGGAUCGUAAAACUCUGUUGUAAGGGAAGAACAAGUGCAAUAGUAACUGGCUGCACCUUGACGGUACCUUAUUAGAAAGCCACGGCUAACUACGUGCCAGCAGCCGCGGUAAUACGUAGGGGGCAAGCGUUGUCCGGAAUUUUGGGCGUAAGCGCGCGCAGGCGGUUUCUUAAGCUGAUGUGAAAGCCCUCGGCUUAACCGAGGAGGGUCUCAUGGAAACUGGGAGAUUGGAGUGCAGAAGAGGAAAGUGGAAUUCCAAAGUGUAGCGGUGAAAUUGCGUAGAGAUUUGGAGGAACACCAGUGGCGAAGGCGACUUUCUGGUCUGUAACUGACGCUGAGGCCCGAAAGCGUGGGGACCAAACAGGAUUAGAUUCCCUGGUAGUCCACGCCGUAAACGAUGAGUGGCUAAGGGUUAGGGGGUUUCCGCCCCUUAGUGCUGCAGCUAACGCAUUAAGCACUCCGCCUGGGGAGUACGGUCGCAAGACUGAAACUCAAAGGAAUUGACGGGGGCCCGCACAAGCGGUGGAGCAUGUGGUUUAAUUCGAAGCAACGCGAAGAACCUUAC
rnacentral:rRNA from 1 species